AAACUUGAGAGUUUGAUCCUGGCUCAGAACGAACGCUGGCGGCAGGCUUAACACAUGCAAGUCGAGCGCGUAGCAAUACGAGCGGCAGACGGGUGAGUAACGCGUGGGAAUCUACCCAUCUCUACGGAACAACUCCGGGAAACUGGAGCUAAUACCGUAUACGUCCUUUUGGAGAAAGAUUUAUCGGAGAUGGAUGAGCCCGCGUUGGAUUAGCUAGUUGGUGGGGUAAUGGCCUACCAAGGCGACGAUCCAUAGC
rnacentral:ncRNA from 1 species